rnacentral:lncRNA from 1 species
UUCAGAAAUGAUUCAACUCGAGGUUAGAGAUUGUAGCUUUUAUUUCUAAAAUUGAUUUUUACACUCAAAUUGUUUAACUCAUUUUAUAUGAAUGUAAUCAAACAUACAAGUGGUUGUUUGGAAUCACAGUCAAUUGAUCGAAAUUACAAUAACUCACUGUAAUUCUGCCAAACUAACCGACUUACGGAUUAUAGAAACGUGAGUCAGCCAAACUAACCGACUUACGGAUUAUAGAAACGUGAGUCAAAGAGUGGAGUGCAAUGCAAGUAUAAGUUGACACCAAAUUAAGAUAUGGGUGAAUUAAUAAUUGUCAAAGUGUGAGAAAAAAUUCAUGAGCACAAGCAAUAAUUAAGCAACAGCAUGUAGAAGAGAAGAUGGAAGAAAUGAAUGGUUUCAGUUGCGUAUACCUCAACAAGAGAAGAGAGGAAGGACUUAUUUAAAAAGAACAGAGAAAUUAGAGUGUGUUG